CCUUGAGCCUUUGUGCUAAUGCUGUUUGCCAAGUAAUUACUUGGCGUCUCGUAGGUAACCCUAAGAAUAAAUUUCUAAGAUUUAGAUGUGUAAAUCAUAACAUACUGCUGAGAAUGAAAGAUAUUAUUAUAUUUUCUAGUUGCUUUGAAAAAAAUGCAAGAAAAAACUUGAGAGAAUUUUCCCCUUACCCUGAAAACAUAGUUGAAGCUGUGAACUACUUUAAUAAACAUCUUUCGGUAGCUCACAUUGCUAAGUGAGUUUUUUGGUUCUUUUAGUGAUCCAUUUUGUUUCUGUCAAUUAUUCAAAUUUUGAUGUCUAUGAUAAAAGAAGAUACUUACACAUUGGUGUAUUGGUAUUUAUGUCAACCCCAAUAUUUUUUCAUGUCUAUAAUAAUUAAUGAAUAAGCUAUGAGGUUUUUUUAUUGUUGUUUUUUAAGAUACUAUUUGGUAUUCAGUUACCCUUGAAGAAAACACUUUCUAUAAAAGACAAAAGAUUCAUGAGGUGAAUGAAGAUAGAAAAAAUGACUCUGGCUCUUACAAAAGGACCCCAAAAUGAAUGGAAACUUACAAAAAAAUGUAGUUGGAGGAGGAAAGUGCAAAGUUCACUUCCAUAAACAUUUACUAAGUACCUGCUCUGCACAGGGCACUCGGGAUUCCAAAAUGCAUUAAAGACCUAAGAAGAAGUUGCAGUCUGGUUAGAGAGACAGAUGCGUAAACAUUAUAAUAUCAAUAAAAUAAGUAAAGGGGGAAGGUAGCAGUGGAAACUAGGUAUUGUGGCAAGUUUAAAUUGAUAAAAUUUUUACCUUUAAAAACUGCACUUGGGUAAAAUGAAGCAAGAAUGUGGCCCUUUCCAAAAGUUACUAUCUGAACAGCAUGGUUUAAUAUUUACUUGGGCUUAAUACAGGUCACAUCUAUGAAUGCAGAAUACCUAACUCUGUAGGCAAAAGUAAAAUAAAAGUGUCCGUACACUCAUGUAAAUAGAGAGUAUAUACUUAGGUAAAUUUAAAGUGUACAAUUAUUCCUACCAUCUCAUGGUUUAAGUAAGAACUUACUUAAGUAAAUAUAUUGAUAUAUUUUAAAAUAUUCAGAAGCUCAGUGGAUAUUCUGUGCUUUAUCCAGAUUCUAGAUGUUUCAUAUGUUAUAGUCACAGUUUACCAUCAUUAACUUUUCCAGGGUAGUGAUAUCAUUUAAGAGAUAUUAAUCUUCCUAGUGGAAGAUUAGGAAGAGGCUAUUUUUUCCUCAGGAAAGAAUACUAAUCUGGUAGAAUCUAAAUCUUAAAAGAAUCUUAAAUCUUAAAAGAAUUAAAAUCUUAAAAGAAUACUAAUCUGGUGGAAUCUAAAUCUUAAAAGUCAACAGACAUUUUGCACGGCUUUCACUAUGUUCCUGUUAUUCCUCAAAAGAAAGAUUAAUUAGCAUUAAUGCAGUGAUGCAUCUCUGUUAAUAGAUCUCUGUUUUAGUCAGGUUUAUUGACCAAUAAUUAUAGUAUAGACAACAUAUUAAAUAUACAACAUAUGGUAUAUUCAAUAGAAUAAGUAAACCUGCAUAUAAUUGUAAUUAUGUUAACCCACUCAUUCAGCAAAUAUAUAUUGAGUACCUACUGUGUGCUUCCAGGUCCUAUAGCCAAAAGUAUCUGCACAUUUCAACAGUGCAAGUAGUAUUACCAAGACCACCUCAGUGUUUACUUCACUUAUAGUGAGUUCUCUUUAUCCACCCAUUCAGUCACUUACAUGAAAGGAUAUAUUUUGGAACUUCCUCUGCUUUAAAAUUAUUAGUUCCAGUCAAUGUACUGUGCUCAUCAGCAGUUGCUUUUAAGCUUGUUUAUUCCAGUGAUAGGAGUGCAUGUCCUUUUCAAGGCACUUGGAAGAAUUUUUUCUUUCUAAGCAGACCAGUGAAAUCUUACUACCAUGCUUAAAUCUUAGGUUAGUCCUGCAGAGAAACAGCAGGACUAAAAUAUGGGAUUUUUCAGUUCAAAUCUCACAAAUUUACCCUCUAAGGAAAAAAAA